ACGAACAACUGACCAUAGAAAUCAUUCAAAUAGACCAUACAACUACAACUAGGUCAUCUCAAAUAUAAGGGAAAAUAAUACUAUAUAAAAAGUUAGAUUCCAUUUGCUCAUAGUGCACGACGGAAUGUUGUGAACAUAAAGGUGGAUGCCUCACUACUAAUAUAAAUUUAUGACGAACUACUCCGUUCUUCCACACAGAAUUAUUUUGGCUAGCCUUUCCACCAUAUUGAAUAUUUUCCCACCACUAAUCGAUCAAGGCGUCAAUAAAAUCAUCUCGUGUAGCCUUCUGUUCCAACAAUAACAUUGAAUUAUGUCGCGGGGCAGGGAUCCUUUGGCAUUGAGCCAGGUAAUUGGUGAUGUUUUGGAUCCUUUCGUAAAGUCAGCUGCGAUGAGGAUUAAUUAUGGUGAGAAGGAGAUUACAAAUGGCACCGGGUUACGAUCAUCUUCUGUGCUCAAUGCACCGCAGGUUGAGAUUGAAGGUCGUGACCGAACAAAGCUCUACACACUUGUCAUGGUGGAUCCUGAUGCGCCAAGUCCAAGCAAACCAGAAUACAGGGAAUAUUUGCAUUGGAUUGGAAUGCAGCCCUCUCGAAAAAGGAGGGGGGUGUUUCUUUUCCAUCCAUCAACAGCUGAAGAACUCUUGUUCUAUAUGCUAUAUUGGGUUGGUGACUGACAUCCCAGAGGCAACAGAUGCACGUUUUGGUGGGUAACGCCUUACAUAAUCUCCAAUAAUUGAACAUGAACACUUCUAUUACAUUAGCACAAGCAGUAAACCAUUCAGAUUAUGUUGGCAUUACUAUCUGCUCAAUUAUUAAAAAAAAUAUUGUUCUGUACUUUGGUAUUCACCUACAGGCAUUCCCACUGGCACUCCACACAAUGCACUAAGCCACGUAGUUAGUAAAAUCUAUUCCCUCCAUUCCAUAAUUCUUGUCUCAAUUUUUCCCAAAAAUGGAUGUAUCUAUUCCUAAAAAGCGUCUAGAUACAUGUAAUAUUUCGACAAGAAUUAUGGAACGGAGGUAGUAUGUCAAAUCGUAACACAAAUGAUGAUACAGACAGAAAUAAGUAGUUACAGAAACACCUCUAUUGCUAAUGUAGCAUGUUCGAUAAAAUUAUUGUUCUGAACUAAGCAAAUAUCUGUAAUUCUUUGAUGAAAUAAUCAAAUUACUGUUUUUGCUAGAAAUUAUGUCCAAGCUUGUACCAUGCUUGUGUUUAGAGUUUGAAGGUAGAAUCUGCAAAGGGCAUGACCUAUGCAACAACUCGUAUUUACACGACAACGGUGACAAGGAAUCAGUUACUUCAAAAUAAAAAUGCUAAGGAAUCAAUAAUUUUAAGAGAGCGUGUUACUUUACAUAGUUCUAAGGCUAGCAUCAAUGAUCUGUACAGUGCGUAUUACCAUAAUAAAUUUCGCAAGGAAAGAUGGACACAAGGAUUUUAGAAAAUUUAUGCAUCUACUGAACUAAAAAAGUAGGAGGGCAAUGGUUGUUCAAGUCAAUGGACGUGUGUACAGUGUCAGUGAGUGACAUCUGCAUGUCAGGUUCAUUGAACAGGUUAUCAUACCAUAUGCUGAGAUCCUUUGUCUUUGUUUAGGAUUUUGGUUAAAUAUCCCUAUAAUUCUCGUCUUUUUGGGUUUAAGGUGAUAUUGUACCAACCAAAAAGAAUAAAGACUAGGUAGUUUUCAUGUAUGGUUUUGUGAUUGAGACAUUAAGUGGUUGGCCUACUAAAGACUAAACUAUACCAAACUAUUUCAAAUAAACAUACCUGUGAAUCAAAUGCAAAGCAGCCUAGAGAGGGGACACACCUGUUUUGGAUGCAGGUUAAGCAGCUGAUGAUUGUUAUCUGCCCAACAGGCCUCAAGUUGAGUAUCUAUCACCAUGUAACUUUCUGUGGGACCCACUUGAUGACAUUCGUCAACGUGGUGAGACUUCAGCUGGAAAUCAAGUUGAUGGGUAACUGUUACAUGCUUCACUGUUGACACCAUCCAAUGUUUGACCAAUAGUAUCUUCUGUGUGGGCCCCCAAAAAGACAAGAUAUACCUAUAUUCCAAAUCUGUUAACAUGAGAACUUCCAUUUCUAAGUGAAAACCAUAUACUAGAAUGAACAUGCCGCUUAGAACAACACCAAGCUGUAAAUAUAGAACUGUCUACUAGAGCUCACAUGUACGUAUUAGCACGAGCAGACCAAACAUUACUGCCAAUGACCCGCAAAAGAAUGCUAGCACUUAAGCACUGCAAGUUAGCCACAGUGAGAAAAUAGUAUGGUAGACUUUGCUUCAUGCAAAGCAGCAUUACUGGAGUUAAUAACAUACCGUUAGUAACGCAUGCACCACAUAGGAGCCCAACCCUUUUAUCUUGCUUAGCCAAUCUGUUAAGCUGUUAAGCUUAGGCUAGAAGAUAUACACAUUUCCAUGCUAUUUAAUUAAGAUUGAAGCAAAUUUAAAAUUGUAAAAAGAAUUUAAAUGUUUCUAACAAAUUUAACAUAAGUUGCCAUAACAUGGCACGGCUUAUGCAUUUACUAAUCUUAUUAUCACAUGUAAUGGUACCUAGUCUGUCAAAUGAUCUAUCUACCUUUUUCUAUAUGAUCUCUAAUGAAACUGUUCCACUUAUCGAUAAUCUAGCUUUGACUUCAAUAUUUUUAUGCUUAUGUGUGGAUGCUAUGGUGGCUAUGCAGCACAUGAUAUUGGCCAGGGUACUUUUAUCUGUAGAGACCUAUCAUAGAUACAUAAACCUUAAGCUGUUUAAAUUUUUUUUCUCGGACACGCCGAGCGGCGUGUCAUUCUCAUUAAGGUGCUUAAUUUUGAGGGCAAGUAAAUAAAUAAGGCAUCACAGGAAAUAUCAAUAUCACAGUGUCAAGGAGCAUGUACUUCAAAAUAGUUAGAACAGCCUGACAUCUGUAACGUGAAAUGGUCAAAUCUAUUCUCCACCUUUAGAAAGAAGCACGGCAAACAGUUUAUGCACCAGGAUGGCGGCCAAAUUUUAACAUCAGAGACUUCUCAGCAUUUUACAAUCUUGGACCACCAGUUGCUGCAUUAUUCUUCAACUGCCAAAAGGAGAGUGGUGUUGGUGGCA